UGGGAGUGAGCGUCCACAUGGCUUAGCUCUUCUGGGAACAAUGCUGUCUGUGAACCAUCCAUGUCCUCACCGAGGUCACCGCCAGAGAGUUCCCUGACCUGCUGCUGGCUUCCUGUACCUCGCUCCCUGUUCAUGAAGAAUGAUUGGCCUAUGAUGUCCUGGGCAAAAGUCUCUCAUAACUUCACAUCAGGAGUGGAAUUGCUGGACCUAAGGGAUUGAACUUGGGACCUUGUGCUUGCAAAG